AAGUAACAUCAUGUUGCCUUUUAGGAAGAUAAAACUGGAAUAAUUUACACAGUAGCCUAAUGGAGCAGGAAGAGAGAGUAUGGGAAAUCAGUGAGGCGGUUGUCAUGCGACCCUGAGCCAAAGAUUCUUUACUCUUUGCCUUACCAGAAGAAUUUCCUUUUCCCUCAGUCCUGAAGACCCUUUCUUGUUUAUUUUCCCUGUAUCUAAACUAUAAGCUUAGGCUCAAGGGUGAUCAGAAGUUCUCUUUUGUUCAGUGAUUUGAAACACUCCUUAUUAAGACCAGGGGGAUUUCUCAUCAAAAGAUUUUAUUCCUCAUCUAGCUUGGUUCCUUUAAAAGAACUAGAUCUUAUCCUAUCAUAUAUUUAUUACACAUAGUUAGAAAAUUUAAUACCAAUUCACAACACCAGGAAGCAUUUAGUCCAAGACAACUAAGUGACAAACAUUACUGCUCCCAUUUGCUCGAUAAAGUUAACGAUAAGCAUCACUCAAGUCAAAGUUUUUCUUUCAUUGAAUAAAUGCAGAAUAAAAUUAUCCCUUCUGAUAAUGAGACUUUGUUUCUUGUUCUCCUUUUUAUUGAAGAAUCAAUUUUUUUCAACUAUACAUGAUCCUCAAGGCUAAAUUUAGAGUAAAUCUAUGACUUUAUAAUUAUAGCUAACACUUACAAAGCACUCACUAUGUGCCUGUAGUGUUCUAAGCACUAUAUGUAACUUUACCUGACAGUUUUGGGGAAAAAAAAAAAAGAUUCUUACAUAUGAGGUUCACAGAAGAGGAAAGAAGGAGUUCCUAGCACUUAAAAUAGGAAGCAUGGAGACUUCUCUUCUUAAUGGCAGAACUUAUUCAGUUUCUCCUUGCUCCUGUACUUCCAGAACAAUGGUGCUAUUCAAGAAGAGACGGCAAAAAUCCAAGUUGCCACUUGACUUUUGAUUUAACAAAGGUUAUAUGGAAGUUGUCCUGAGCUGUUAAGUUACAUAGUUUAUCGUAUCAUCUAAUGUUUUGAAAAGGAUGCUUUAUUAUUGGUUAAACAAAUCUAAAGUUGCAAGAUAAAACAUCUUAAUAUACCUACAAAAGCUAUAUUCAAACAUUCCCAUGAGGUACACUACUACAGGAAAAAAAGAAAAAGAAAAGCUCUAUUGCACUGCACUUGAGUUUCCUUCCAUUUUGUUUUAAACACAUUAGUUGAUUAAUA
rnacentral:lncRNA from 1 species